UGUCUGAAACGCGCUGAAGGCAAAAC
rnacentral:sRNA from 1 species